rnacentral:rRNA from 1 species
GACGAGCCACACGAACGUUAUUCGGAAUUACUGGGCUUGAAGGGUGCGUAGGCGGUGCGGAAAGUUGGGUGUGAAAUCCCUCGGCUCAACCGAGGAACUGCGCCCAAAACUACCGUACUUGAGGAAGAUAGAGGUGAGCGGAACUCACGGUGGAGCGGUGAAAUGCGUUGAUAUCGUGAGGAACACCCGUGGCGAAAGCGGCUCACUGGGUCUUUUCUGACGCUGAUGCACGAAAGCUAGGGGAGCAAACGGG